rnacentral:lncRNA from 1 species
GGAAGCGGCGUUUGCCGGGCCCGAGCGCCCGCGCGCCCGCGCGCUCUUGCAGGUGCCUCCGGGACGCGCGCGGGCGGCUGUCCUGCUUGUUUAAUGAUAGGAGGACGGGAUUCUGCAGCGUCCUUAGCCUAGCGGGUGGUGCGGGGCAGGGAAGUUCCGGACAGCGAAGAGCCACGUUCGAGCUCUAAUGAUUCUCUGUGUCCCCAGAGAGGAAGUGUGAAGUGUGACGGCUGACGAGGAGGGUGGGAGGAGACGAGGGAGUGCUGCAACUCUGGAAAAACAAGUCAGCUCUUCUGUGGAGCUCGUCACGCAUUCACGGGCCUUUUGCUAUCAUUCUGCCUCAAAAUUGUCCGGAAUCCGCCCUCUCCUUCCCAUUGCACUGCUCCAGCCCUAGCCCAGACACCUUCCGCCCCGAGCUUCGCGGGAGUCUGUUCCCUGGGCUCGCCUCGCCCAUCCUCGGUGCUGCGGACUGGAUGAGUUACCGUCCGUUCGGCUGAAAAGCCCGGACAGCACCUCACCUUCGAGAUCCCGCUUCCUUCACACUGGGUCGCCCCACCAGCCGCCUGGGUUCCAGUUUAGCACUGCCGACGACUUGCUGUGCCUGGCAUGUCCUUGCUCCCAAAUGUCACAUCUAUGAAGCCUCACCCUAAAACCCUGUAAGAGCGAUUCCCUCUUUCACCCACAUGCCCGUUAGCCUUUAUUUAGCACACCUUAAAUUGUAUUCAUUUUGCAUCUCAAUCUAGUUCACAGCCUGGUAUAUAACAACUAAUAAAUGUGAGUUGACUGAUAAAGACUAUAAAAUGAUAAAUUUGUUAAGAGCUGUAAUGCUGAGCGUAAUGCCUGGGCAUAAUGGAUGUUCAUAAUUUUCUGAAUGAUAGAAUGGAUGAAUCAUCUAGUCAUUUACAGAUAAGGAAAGGGGAGUCCCACGGGAUUAGGUGACCUUCCUUGAAGAGCCACGGGUUUCCCAUAUCGAAAUGCUAUUCAUUACCCGAGUCACCUAGGUUCUUACAAAGGAAGCGAGAAAAUUGCUUUUGUUGGGCCAUGCCCCUUUUGCAGAGGUUCCUAAGUAUAGUCGCCAGAAUUUUUUUAAUGGCCUAAAGUAAAAAAAGAAAUGCUAAAAUUUUCACGAAGCUAAAUGUAAUCAAUGUAAAGGAAUCCUUUAUUAGGGAUUAUAUUCUUUUUGUGUACAUUAUAGUAUCUAUGAAACUAAGACAGUAGUUUUGGGGGCUUUUAAAAAAUGCUUUUGUAUGACAAAACAAAAAGAAAUGUGUAAUACUUCCCCUUUUCAAGCACUACUGUGCUGCUUGGAAAGUUUCCUACUAACAUGUAUGAUUAAUGUAUACUGGAAUAUUAAAGAAAGGGGACGACACACGGCACAGAGCUGGCUUUCUGUAGUUCUUUAGGUCCCCCUCGCCCCCACCAGAUUUCUCCCUACCUAGUCAUGCCCCAAAGGUGCUUUCGAAUGUCCCAUUUCUCUCUUACUACAAGAAACAGAUGCCAUUAACCAGUUAAAAGAUAGCUCUAAUGCUACACAAUGAAAACUCGCCCUCUGAAUCCAAAUGCUGCUUUUCUCUUUUUCUGUACAAAACACUUAUAUCCUGAAGGUUCCUGAGAUAGCCACUUCCAAGUUUAAACUCUGAUUAUGCUCCUAAUGUUGCUCUGAAAAUGAGGACGGGAGACUUGCUGAUGACAUACUGGCAGUCUCCUUUCCUGCUCCUAGCCAAAAAAAGGUGGGGGUAGGGGUAGGGAGGGGAAGGAAUUGUGGGAAAAAUAAUUAGCAGCUGAAAGCAGCUAUUACAUAAUCUUGGCUGCUUAUUAAUUUAGCAGAAGGAAUGGCUUAUUAAAUUCUAAUAGCAACAGCACAACUGCAAACAACCUAGCAAUUAACAGUGCAGGGCCCAUUAUUUUGUUAAUAUGUUCUCUUCUUUUGGCAAGUGUAUGAGAACAAAAUUUAUAGAAGCAGAUGGUCUUUUUCAAUAGAUUAUAGAUGGUUUAUUCCCUAGUCUUAGUAUUAAGUGCUAAUUAUGCAUUCACUGUGAAAGACAAAAGAAACAUGGUUGCCAUCUUUGUUAGUAAUUAACUGCUUGACUUUGAUUCCCACAAUUUCCCAA